rnacentral:rRNA from 1 species
AUACGGAGGGUGCAAGCGUUGUUCGGAAUUAUUGGGCGUAAAGCGCGCGUAGGCGGCUUGGCAAGUCGGAUGUGAAAGCCCGGGGCUCAACCCCGGAAUUGCAUUCGAAACUGCCUGGCUAGAGUCUCGGAGAGGAGGGCGGAAUUCCCGGUGUAGAGGUGAAAUUCGUAGAUAUCGGGAGGAACACCAGUGGCGAAGGCGGCCCUCUGGACGAUGACUGACGCUGAGGUGCGAAAGCGUGGGGAGCAAACAGGAUUAGAUACCCCGGUAGUCC